rnacentral:rRNA from 1 species
GUUAUAUGGUCAAGUGAAGAAGCGCAUACGGUGGAUGCCUUGGCAGUCAGAGGCGAUGAAAGACGUGGUAGCCUGCGAAAAGCUUCGGGGAGUCGGCAAACAGACUUUGAUCCGGAGAUGUCUGAAUGGGGGAACCCAGCCAUCACAAGAUGGUUAUCUUGCACUGAAUACAUAGGUGCAAGAGGCGAACCAGGGGAACUGAAACAUCUAAGUACCCUGAGGAAAAGAAAUCAACCGAGAUUCCCUUAGUAGUGGCGAGCGAACGGGGACUAGCCCUUAAGUGGCUUUGAGAUUAGCGGAACGCUCUGGAAAGUGCGGCCAUAGUGGGUGAUAGCCCUGUACGCGAAAAUCUCUUAGUCAUGAAAUCGAGUAGGACGGAGCACGAGAAACUUUGUCUGAAUAUGGGGGGACCAUCCUCCAAGGCUAAAUACUACUGACUGACCGAUAGUGAACUAGUACCGUGAGGGAAAGGCGAAAAGAACCCCGGAGAGGGGAGUGAAAUAGAUCCUGAAACCGUAUGCGUACAAGCAGUGGGAGCAGACUUUGUUCUGUGACUGCGUACCUUUUGUAUAAUGGGUCAGCGACUUAUUUUCAGUGGCGAGCUUAACCGAAUAGGGGAGGCGUAGCGAAAGCGAGUCUUAAUAGGGCGUCUAGUCGCUGGGAAUAGACCCGAAACCGGGCGAUCUAUCCAUGGGCAGGUUGAAGGUUAGGUAACACUGACUGGAGGACCGAACCGACUACCGUUGAAAAGUUAGCGGAUGACCUGUGGAUCGGAGUGAAAGGCUAAUCAAGCUCGGAGAUAGCUGGUUCUCCUCGAAAGCUAUUUAGGUAGCGCCUCAUGUAUCACUGUAGGGGGUAGAGCACUGUUUCGGCUAGGGGGUCAUCCCGACUUACCAAACCGAUGCAAACUCCGAAUACCUACAAGUGCCGAGCAUGGGAGACACACGGCGGGUGCUAACGUCCGUCGUGAAAAGGGAAACAACCCAGACCGUCAGCUAAGGUCCCAAAGUUAUGGUUAAGUGGGAAACGAUGUGGGAAGGCUUAGACAGCUAGGAGGUUGGCUUAGAAGCAGCCACCCUUUAAAGAAAGCGUAAUAGCUCACUAGUCGAGUCGGCCUGCGCGGAAGAUGUAACGGGGCUCAAACCAUACACCGAAGCUACGGGUAUCACGUAAGUGAUGCGGUAGAGGAGCGUUCUGUAAGCCUGUGAAGGUGAGUUGAGAAGCUUGCUGGAGGUAUCAGAAGUGCGAAUGCUGACAUGAGUAACGACAAUGGGUGUGAAAAACACCCACGCCGAAAGACCAAGGUUUCCUGCGCAACGUUAAUCGACGCAGGGUUAGUCGGUCCCUAAGGCGAGGCUGAAAAGCGUAGUCGAUGGAAAACAGGUUAAUAUUCCUGUACUUCUGGUUAUUGCGAUGGAGGGACGGAGAAGGCUAGGCCAGCUUGGCGUUGGUUGUCCAAGUUUAAGGUGGUAGGCUGGAAUCUUAGGUAAAUCCGGGAUUCUAAGGCCGAGAGCUGAUGACGAGUUGCCUUUAGGCGACGAAGUGGUUGAUGCCAUGCUUCCAAGAAAAGCUUCUAAGCUUCAGAUAACCAGGAACCGUACCCCAAACCGACACAGGUGGUUGGGUAGAGAAUACCAAGGCGCUUGAGAGAACUCGGGUGAAGGAACUAGGCAAAAUGGCACCGUAACUUCGGGAGAAGGUGCGCCGGUGAGGGUGAAGGACUUGCUCCGUAAGCCCAUGCCGGUCGAAGAUACCAGGCCGCUGCGACUGUUUAUUAAAAACACAGCACUCUGCAAACACGAAAGUGGACGUAUAGGGUGUGACGCCUGCCCGGUGCCGGAAGGUUAAUUGAUGGGGUUAGCUAACGCGAAGCUCUUGAUCGAAGCCCCGGUAAACGGCGGCCGUAACUAUAACGGUCCUAAGGUAGCGAAAUUCCUUGUCGGGUAAGUUCCGACCUGCACGAAUGGCGUAACGAUGGCGGCGCUGUCUCCACCCGAGACUCAGUGAAAUUGAAAUCGCUGUGAAGAUGCAGUGUAUCCGCGGCUAGACGGAAAGACCCCGUGAACCUUUACUAUAGCUUUGCACUGGACUUUGAAUUUGCUUGUGUAGGAUAGGUGGGAGGCUUUGAAGCGUGGACGCCAGUUCGCGUGGAGCCAUCCUUGAAAUACCACCCUGGCAACUUUGAGGUUCUAACUCAGGUCCGUUAUCCGGAUCGAGGACAGUGUAUGGUGGGUAGUUUGACUGGGGCGGUCUCCUCCUAAAGAGUAACGGAGGAGUACGAAGGUGCGCUCAGACCGGUCGGAAAUCGGUCGUAGAGUAUAAAGGCAAAAGCGCGCUUGACUGCGAGACAGACACGUCGAGCAGGUACGAAAGUAGGUCUUAGUGAUCCGGUGGUUCUGUAUGGAAGGGCCAUCGCUCAACGGAUAAAAGGUACUCCGGGGAUAACAGGCUGAUACCGCCCAAGAGUUCAUAUCGACGGCGGUGUUUGGCACCUCGAUGUCGGCUCAUCACAUCCUGGGGCUGAAGCCGGUCCCAAGGGUAUGGCUGUUCGCCAUUUAAAGUGGUACGCGAGCUGGGUUUAGAACGUCGUGAGACAGUUCGGUCCCUAUCUGCCGUGGACGUUUGAGAUUUGAGAGGGGCUGCUCCUAGUACGAGAGGACCGGAGUGGACGAACCUCUGGUGUUCCGGUUGUCACGCCAGUGGCAUUGCCGGGUAGCUAUGUUCGGAAAAGAUAACCGCUGAAAGCAUCUAAGCGGGAAACUUGCCUCAAGAUGAGAUCUCACUGGAACCUUGAGUUCCCUGAAGGGCCGUCGAAGACUACGACGUUGAUAGGUUGGGUGUGUAAGCGCUGUGAGGCGUUGAGCUAACCAAUACUAAUUGCCCGUGAGGCUUGACCAUAUAACACCCAAGCAAUU